rnacentral:rRNA from 1 species
UUAAGUUAGAAAGGGCGCACGGUGGAUGCCUUGGCACUAGGAGCCGAUGAAGGACGGGACGAACACCGAUAUGCUUCGGGGAGCUGUAAGCAAGCUUUGAUCCGGAGAUUUCCGAAUGGGGAAACCCACCACUCGUAAUGGAGUGGUAUCCAUAUCUGAAUACAUAGGAUAUGAGAAGGCAGACCCGGGGAACUGAAACAUCUAAGUACCCGGAGGAAGAGAAAGCAAAUGCGAUUCCCUGAGUAGCGGCGAGCGAAACGGGACCAGCCCAAACCAAGAGGCUUGCCUCUUGGGGUUGUAGGACACUCUGUACGGAGUUACAAAGGAACGAGGUAGAUGAAGAGGUCUGCCGCGCCAUAGGAGGUAACACCUGUACGUCACAAACUCGUUCCGAGGACCUGAGUGGCUACGGAGCACACGUGUUCACUCGGAUCCGGGGGACGCUUCCCAAGGCUAAUAUCCCUAGAGUGAUAUAGUAACCAGUACGAGCGAGGAAUGAACACCUCAAGGGAGUGAAACAGUCCUGAAUCGUGUGCUACAAGUCAUUCAUUGCCCGUUAACGGGUCGGACUGCGUAGCUUUGUAAGUAAAAGGCGAGUUACCCCCAACUUGCAGAAUCGGAGCCGCAGCGAACAGCGAGUUCUGCAUGGGACGAACUUCGAGAUACGGGUCGAUAGACCCGAACCAGGUGUUUCCCACAGUGCAGCGUAACGUUCAAGUAACACUGAAUAGGCCCAACGCUCCGAGUUCAAAGUCCCGGACGGUGUGAGGUAGGGGUGAAAUGCCAAUCGAACCUAGACAUAGCUGGUUCUCUCCGAAAUAGCUUUAGGGCUAGCCUCAAGGUAAGAGUCUCGGAGGUAGAGCACUGAUUGGACUAGGGGCCCCUACCGGGUUACCGAAUUCAGUCAAACUCCGAAUGCCGAUGACUUAUCCUUGGGAGUCAGACUGCGAGUGAUAAGAUCCGUAGUCGAAAGGGAAACAGCCCAGACCGCCAGCUAAGGUCCCAAAGUAUACGUUAAGUGGAAAAGGAUGUGGAGUUGCUUAGACAACCAGGAUGUUGGCUUAGAAGCAGCCACCAUUUAAAGAGUGCGUAAUAGCUCACUGGUCGAGUGACUCUGCGCCGAAAAUGUACCGGGGCUAAACGUAUCACCGAAGCUGCGGACUGUUCUUCGAACAGUGGUAGGAGAGCGUUCUAAGGGCUGUGAAGCAAGACCGGAAGGACUUGUGGAGCGCUUAGAAGUGAGAAUGCCGGUAUGAGUAGCGAAAGAGGGGUGAGAAUCCCCUCCACCGAAUGCCUAAGGUUUCCUGAGGAAGGCUCGUCCGCUCAGGGUUAGUCGGGACCUAAGCCGAGGCCGAAAGGCGUAGGCGAUGGAUAACAGGUUGAUAUUCCUGUACCACCUCCUCACCAUUUGAGCAAUGGGGGGACGCAGGAGGAUAGGGUAAGCGCGGUAUUGGAUAUCCGCGUCCAAGCAGUUAGGCUGGGAAAUAGGCAAAUCCGUUUCCCGUGAAGGCUGAGCUGUGAUGGCGAGCGAAUUAUAGUAGCGAAGUUCCUGAUUCCACACUGCCAAGAAAAGCCUCUAGCGAGGUGAGAGGUGCCCGUACCGCAAACCGACACAGGUAGGCGAGGAGAGAAUCCUAAGGUGAUCGAGAGAACUCUCGUUAAGGAACUCGGCAAAAUGACCCCGUAACUUCGGGAGAAGGGGUGCUCUGUUAGGGUGCAAGCCCGAGAGAGCCGCAGUGAAUAGGCCCAGGCGACUGUUUAGCAAAAACACAGGUCUCUGCGAAGCCGUAAGGCGAAGUAUAGGGGCUGACGCCUGCCCGGUGCUGGAAGGUUAAGAGGAGCGCUUAGCGUAAGCGAAGGUGCGAAUUGAAGCCCCAGUAAACGGCGGCCGUAACUAUAACGGUCCUAAGGUAGCGAAAUUCCUUGUCGGGUAAGUUCCGACCCGCACGAAAGGCGCAACGAUCUGGGCACUGUCUCAACGAGAGACUCGGUGAAAUUAUAGUACCUGUGAAGAUGCAGGUUACCCGCGACAGGACGGAAAGACCCCGUGGAGCUUUACUGCAGCCUGAUAUUGAAUGUUGGUACAGCUUGUACAGGAUAGGUAGGAGCCUUGGAAACCGGAGCGCCAGCUUCGGUGGAGGCAUCGGUGGGAUACUACCCUGGCUGUAUUGACCUUCUAACCCGCCGCCCUUAUCGGGCGGGGAGACAGUGUCAGGUGGGCAGUUUGACUGGGGCGGUCGCCUCCUAAAAGGUAACGGAGGCGCCCAAAGGUUCCCUCAGAAUGGUUGGAAAUCAUUCGCAGAGUGUAAAGGCACAAGGGAGCUUGACUGCGAGACCUACAAGUCGAGCAGGGACGAAAGUCGGGCUUAGUGAUCCGGUGGUUCCGCAUGGAAGGGCCAUCGCUCAACGGAUAAAAGCUACCCCGGGGAUAACAGGCUUAUCUCCCCCAAGAGUCCACAUCGACGGGGAGGUUUGGCACCUCGAUGUCGGCUCAUCGCAUCCUGGGGCUGUAGUCGGUCCCAAGGGUUGGGCUGUUCGCCCAUUAAAGCGGUACGCGAGCUGGGUUCAGAACGUCGUGAGACAGUUCGGUCCCUAUCCGUCGCGGGCGCAGGAAAUUUGAGAGGAGCUGUCCUUAGUACGAGAGGACCGGGAUGGACGCACCGCUGGUGUACCAGUUGUUCUGCCAAGGGCAUCGCUGGGUAGCUAUGUGCGGACGGGAUAAGUGCUGAAAGCAUCUAAGCAUGAAGCCCCCCUCAAGAUGAGAUUUCCCAUUCCGCAAGGAAGUAAGAUCCCUGAAAGAUGAUCAGGUUGAUAGGUCUGAGGUGGAAGUGUGGCGACACAUGGAGCUGACAGAUACUAAUCGAUCGAGGACUUAACCAA